AAUCCAUGGUGUGGGCACUUCUGAAUUAGCAAAUUAAAAUGUUGCCAUGCUUCAUGAAAGCUUUCCCCUUCUAACUAUUUGAACAUCAAAAUUUCCCUUCUUAGUUG
rfam:Gossypium hirsutum cultivar TM-1 chromosome 16, whole genome shotgun sequence